CUCAUUAAGGUGGGUGGAAUAGUAUAACAAUAUGCUCAAUGUUGUUAUAGUAUCCCACCUACCCUGAUGUG
rfam:Cricetulus griseus cell line CHO-K1, whole genome shotgun sequence.